GUCGUAACAAGGUAACCGUAGGGGAACCUGCGGUUGGAUCACCUCCUUACCUUAAAGAAACGUUCUUUGUAGUGCUCACACAGAUUGUCUGAUGAA
rnacentral:rRNA from 1 species